rnacentral:rRNA from 1 species
AUUGAACGCUGGCGGAAUGCUUUACACAUGCAAGUCGUACGGUAGAGGGGGCAACCCCUCGAGAGUGGCGAACGGGUGAGUAAUAUAUCGGAACGUGCCCAGUCGUGGGGGAUAACGUAGCGAAAGUUACGCUAAUACCGCAUACGAUCUAAGGAUGAAAGCGGGGGAUCGCAAGACCUCGCGCGAUUGGAGCGGCCGAUAUCAGAUUAGGUAGUUGGUGGGGUAAAGGCUCACCAAGCCAACGAACUGUAGCUGGUCUGAGAGGACGACCAGCCACACUGGAACUGAGACACGGUCCAGACUCCUACGGGAGGCAGCAGUGGGGAAUUUUGGACAAUGGACGCAAGUCUGAUCCAGCCAUUCCGCGUGCAGGAUGAAGGCCCUCGGGUUGUAAACUGCUUUUGUACGGAACGAAAAGGCCUCUCUUAAUACGGGGGACUCAUGACGGUACCGUAAGAAUAAGCACCGGCUAACUACGUGCCAGCAGCCGCCGUAAGAC